rnacentral:rRNA from 1 species
CACCAUAGGACUGGCCGUCCCAUAUGAAAAGAUUAUAUUAGAAUUGAAUGAAGCUUUGUUUAUAUAUUGAUAAUGACAGUAUAUAUAUCGUGUCUUGACUAAUUGCGUGCCAGCAGUCGCGGUAAUACGUAAGAGACUAGUGUUAUUCAUCUUAAUUAGGUUUAAAGGGUACCCAGACGGUCAAUAUAGCUUAUAAAAUGUUAGUACUUGACUAGAGUUUUAUGUAAGAGGGCAGUACUUGAGGAGGAGAGAUGAAAUUUCGUGAUACCAAAGGGACUCUGUAAAGGCGAAGGCAGCCCUCUAUGUAAAAACUGACGUUGAAGGACGAAGGCACAGAGAACAAACAGGAUUAGAUACCCAAGUAGUCUUUGCAGUAAAUGAUGAAUGCCAUAGGUUAGAUUGAUAAAUUAUGGUCUAGGGUUAGUCUAGCAAACUAAUGCCCUGUGCUAUAAUUCAAAAUAUCUGGUCUAUAAAUGAAAGUGUAAGCAUUUCACCUCAAGAGUAAUGUGGCAACGCAGGAAC